AUUGAACGCUGGCGGCAGGCCUAACACAUGCAAGUCGAACGAGUGGCGGACGGGUGAGUAAUGUCUGGGAAACUGCCUGAUGGUGGGGGAUAACUACUGGAAACGGUAGCUAAUACCGCAUACCAUCGGAUGUGCCCAGUUGGGGUUAGCUAGUAGGUGGGGUAACGGCUCACCUAGGCGACGAUCCCUAGCUGGUCUGAGAGGAUGACCGGCCGCACGGGAACUGGGAAACGGGCCGGACUCCUACGGGAGGCAGCAGUGGGGAAUGUUGGACAAUGGGCGCAAGCCUGAGGCAGCCAGGCCGCGUGUAUGAAGAAGGCCUUCGGGUUGUAAAGUACUUUCAGCGGGGAGGCGUUACCCGCAGAAGAAGCACCGGCUAACUCCGUGCCAGCAGCCGCGGUAAUUC
rnacentral:rRNA from 1 species